rnacentral:rRNA from 1 species
UACGGGGGGGAGCAAGCGUUGUUCGGAUUUACUGGGCGUAAAGGGCGCGUAGGCGGCCACCGCAAGUCAGUUGUGAAAGCUCUGGGCUUAACCCAGAAAGGUCAGCUGAUACUGCGGGGCUAGAGUGCAGAAGGGGCAACUGGAAUUCUCGGUGAUAGCGUGAAUGCGUAGAUAUCGAGAGGAACACCUGCGGCGAAGGCGGGUUGCUGGGCUGACACGUGACGCUGACAGCGCGAAAGCUAGGGAGCGAAGCGGG